rnacentral:lncRNA from 1 species
GCAAUAUUAACCGAUCAAACAAUAUUGUAAAAUCUUCUGAUGUCAAAUCAUCAGUUAACAACCAAGCUUACUCCAACAAUGUUUCAAAGGUUUCCGAUGUCCGAAGCUCAGUUAACAACCAAGCUUCAUCAUCAAAUGUUGCAAACUCAAACAACGUUAGCCGAUCAAGCAAUGUCCAAAACUCAGUUAACUCAGUCAAUUCCAACAAGUUUGUUAAAUCUUCUGAUGUAAAAUCUUCAGUUAAUAACCAAGUUUACUCAAACAAUGUUUCAAAGGUAUCAGAUGCCCGAUCAUUAGUUAAUAACCAAGCCUUCUCCUCAAACGUUGCAAACUCAAACAACGUUGUAAAAUCUUCAGUCAACAACCAAGCUUCAUCAGUAAAUGUUGCUAACACCAGCAAUAUCAACCGAGCAAGCUCAGUCAAUAACCAAGCUUACUCCAACAAUGUUUCAAAGGUUUCCGAUGUCCGAAGCUCAGUUAAUAACCAAGCUUCAUCAUCAAAUGUUGCCAACAGUAACAAUGUUAACCGAUCAAACUUUGUCCAAAAUUCAAUCAAUAACCAAGCCUUUUCUAACAAAGUAGCCAGAUCUGCAGACUUCCGUUCAUCAGUAGAUAACCAAUCUUUCAACAAAAAUGUUGU